rnacentral:rRNA from 1 species
AGCAGCCGCGGUAAUUCCAGCUCCAAUAGCGUAUAUUAAAGUUGUUGCAGUUAAAAAGCUCGUAGUUGAAUUUCGGGAUUGGCGCAUCGGUCGUGCCUCACGGGGUAUGAACUGGUGCAGUCAAUUUCUCACCUUCUGGAGAACCGCGAUGUCCUUAAUUGGAUGCCGUGGGGAACCAGGACCUUUACUUUGAAAAAAUUAGAGUGUUUAAAGCAGGCAUUUUUGCUUGAAUACAUUAGCAUGGAAUAAUAAAAUAGGACGGCAUGGUUCUAUUUUGUUGGUUUCUAGGACCACCGUAAUGAUUAAUAGGGAUAGUUGGGGGCAUUAGUAUUCAAUUGUCAGAGGUGAAAUUCUUGGAUUUAUUGAAGACUAACUACUGCGAAAGCAUUUGCCAAGGAUGUUUUCAUUAAUCAAGAACGAAAGUUAGGGGAUCGAAGACGAUCAGAUACCGUCGUAGUCUUAACCAUAAACUAUGCCGACUAGGAAUC